UGUAAAAUCAAGAUAUGACAAGUAGGGAAAGAAGUAUGAGCUAUUAACAGUUUUUAUUAUAAUUUAUAAAAGUGUGACUUAUAAUUACAGAUGCUAUACAGUAAAACCUCUAUAAAUUAAUAAUUAUUAAUUUCCAUUAUAAAAAUAAUAAAUAUUAAUUUAUAGUGGUAUUUUUUAUUGUUAAAUGUUUUUGAAAAUAUUUAUUGGCGCAAUUUAAAAAACAUAAGAUUAGGUUUUUAGAUAUUAUAAUUUCAUAGUUUGAAACUAACUUUUAUAUUUAGAAAAAGGAAAUUUGGCUAUAAACUACAAAUAUUAUAGAUAAAUUCACUUAUACAAAUGAUAUGUACAUAAAUUCAGAUGUUAGAUUAAUAACCUUAAUUGUUAUAUUUAUAUUUUAACAUCUUAUAAAAGAAAAUAUAAAAUGAAUAUGAUGCAGAUUUAAAAAUUGAAAACAUAAAGAAAAUUUUGGUUAUUUAAAUGACUUGUGAUGGACUAUAUUACAAUAUUAUAGUUUGAAAAUAGAACAUAAUUUCUUGUGUUGAGAUGAGCUUUAGGAGAAAAUUCAUGUUUACAAAAAAAGUAAAAAACAUACAUUAAUAUAUCUACUUAUAUAUGCAUAUAUAUUAAACAUGAAUUUAUGAUAUAUACAUAUGGUGAUCAAUAAUUUAUAAUGUUGUAGGGACUAUAUUUUACAUGGGGAUUUAAAAAAAAAAUAUUAUCUUAUCGAAUUUGGUUAAUUUUUACAUUGGCCAUACUUGGUACCAACAGAAUUUAUUAAUUUAUGGUGUUUAUUAAUUUAUAAAGGUUUUACUGUAUUAGUCCAAAAAAAAAAAGAUACACAAGUUAUAUAAAAAUAAAUAUAUAAACAAAACAAAAAUCAAGCAUAGAUUUACACAUGAGAGUUAUCAUAUUUUUAUGGGGAAACUAUAAUGGGUGUACCCAAAUAAAAGAAAAUUUAAAUAUUCAUACCCCUUAAAUUCUUAUCUAGCUUCUAAAUUUUCAGACAAAAAUACCCCUAUAUAUGGUACCAAAUAGUUUAGC
rnacentral:lncRNA from 1 species